CGCAUCUGUGCAUGCAGCAUAUCAAUAAGCGGAGGAAAAGAAACUAACAAGGAUUCCCCUAGUAACGGCGAGUGAAGCGGGAAGAGCUCAAAUUUGAAAUCUUAAAGGGUUUCCCUUUACGAAUUGUAGUUUAAAGAAGUGUUUUCUGUUGAGGUUUUGGUAAAAGUUCUUUGGAAUAGGACAUCAUAGAGGGUGAGAAUCCCGUAUUUGACCUUUACUUUCAACUUUGUGAUACACUUUCAAAGAGUCGGAUUGUUUGGGAAUGCAGUCCAAAAUGGGUGGUAAAUUUCAUCUAAAGCUAAAUAUUGGCGAGAGACCGAUAGCGAACAAGUACCGUGAGGGAAAGAUGAAAAGAACUUUGAAAAGAGAGUUAAACAGGUACGUGAAAUUGUCAAAAGGGAAGCGUUUGACACCAGUGUUGUUUUUCUGAAAAUCAAUUAAAGAACUGUUUAUGCUAAGUUGUUUAGACUUUAUCAGCUAUCUGUUUAGUUUUGAGCUUUUCUUUAAUGCACUUUUCAGUUAACAAGUCAACAUCAAUUUCUUUUGCUGUAAAAAAGCUUGAGGAAGGUGGCUUGAGAUUCGUCUUAAGUGUUUAUAGCCUCUUGCCUAUGCAGUCGGAGAGAUUGAGGUCUGCAGCGUAGAUCCUUCGGGGCUAAAUGCAUUUGUGCUAAGUUAUAGCAUUUUAUAGACAACUUGUUGACUAUGAUUUGUCUUGUAGCUUACUCGCUUAUGUUAUUUUACCUACGCUUAGGAUGUUGAAUCUGUGCGAGACUAC
rnacentral:rRNA from 1 species